rnacentral:rRNA from 1 species
UAAGAGAUGAUUUAUUGUAAAUUUUAGUGGCGGACUGGUGAGUAAUACAUAGGUAAUCUGCCUUUUAGAGGGGAAUAACUAGGAGAAAUCCUAGCUAAUACCGCGUAAGACCACACUUAGGCAUCUAAGAGAGGUCAAAGGAGUAAUCCGCUAAAAGAUGAGCCUGUGGCUGAUUAGUUAGUUGGUGGGGUAAGAGCCUACCAAGACGAUGAUCAGUAGCCGAGCUGAGAGGCUGGCCGGCCACAUUGGGACUGAGAUACGGCCCAGACUCC